rnacentral:misc_RNA from 1 species
GAUGAAGAACGUAGCGAAAUGCGAUACUUGGUGUGAAUUGCAGAAUCCCGUGAACCAUCGAGUCUUUGAACGCAAGUUGCGCCCGAAGCCACUAGGCCGAGGGCACGCCUGCCUGGGCGUCACACGUCGUUGCCCCCCCCCCAUCUACUCCUUCGGGAUUGCGGGGGGCGGAUGAUGGCCUCCCGUGCGCCUAGCCGCGCGGUUGGCAUAAAUACCAAGUCCUCGGCGACGCACGCCACGACAAUCGGUGGUUGCGAAACCUCGGUUGCCCGUCGUGUGCGUUCGUCGCGCAUCGAGGGCUCGAAAAAAUGCUCGGCUCCGGAUCGGCUUUCAACGCGACCCCAGGUCAGGCGGGGUUACCCGCUGAAUUUAAGCAUAUCAAUAAGCGGAGGA